CCUACGGGUGGCAGCAGUGAGGAAUCUUGGUCAAUGGACGAGAGUCUGACCCAGCAAAGUAGCGUGAAGGAUGACUGCCCUCUGGGUUGUACACUUCUUUUAUAUGGGAAUAAAACGUUCCACGUGUGUGAUUUUGUAUGUACCAUAUGUAUAAGGAUCGGCUAACUCCGUGCCAGCACCCGCGGUAAUACGGAGGAUCCGAGCGUUAUCCGGAUUGAUUGGGUUUAAAGGGAGCGUAGGUGGAUUGUUAAGUCAGUUGUGAAAGUUUGCGGCUCAACCGUAAAAUUGCAGUUGAAACUGGCAGUCUUGAGUACAGUAGAGGUGGGCGGAAUUCGUGGUGUAGCGGUGAAAUGCUUAGAUAUCACGAAGAACUCCGAGUGCGAAGGCAGUUCACUGGACUGCAACUGACACUGAGGCUCGAAAGUGUGGGUAUCAAACAGGAUUAGAUACCCCUGUAGUC
rnacentral:rRNA from 1 species